AUAGCCCUAUUUUAACGUUCUAAGCGCACAGCGUGAAGCGCCUGGCGCAGGUGCGUUUAGGGCGUGUCCAAAUCCACUUUUGCUAUUUUAACGGCGG